rnacentral:rRNA from 1 species
UACGUAGGGUGCAAGCGUUAAUCGGAAUUACUGGGCGUAAAGCGUGCGCAGGCGGUUUUGUAAGACUGUCGUGAAAUCCCCGGGCUUAACCUGGGAAUGGCGAUGGUGACUGCAAGGCUAGAGUUUGGCAGAGGGGGGUAGAAUUCCACGUGUAGCAGUGAAAUGCGUAGAGAUCGAGCGGAACACCAGUGGCGAAGGCGAGUUCCUGGACAAGUCCUGACACUGAGGCACGAAAGCCAGGGGAGCAAACAGG